rnacentral:lncRNA from 10 species
UGGUUCUGCACAGAGGACACAUGCAAGCUGAACAAGCCUAACUGAUAGACCGAGGUUAUCAGCCGGAAAGCCCUGGGUGUGUGGGUGAGGCAGCCCUCAUGACCAUCCUGAGGAAGCCGAGGGGCCCUUUGACCAGGAAGCCAUGAGGCUGAACGGAGAAUGCAUCAGACACAGCAAGCAGGGCUCCAAUUACUAGGUAGAGGGCACGAGGAGCCCAAGCUCCCCCCACAAUGGCAUUUCCUCAUUCCACUGUACACUGACGUGGAGAAUUUUUCAAAAACACA